rnacentral:lncRNA from 1 species
UAUGCAUCGAUAUAGAGAGAUAUCCCUAUUAUUGCUUUCAAGUUGAAAGCAAGCAUAUCCCAGAUGAGCAUAAACUAGUUGUCCAGUCAAAAUUUUGAAGUAAGCAAACAUUAUGUUUUUUGUUAUGGCUAAUCAACAGUUCAACACCGAAAAAAGGUCUCUCUAAAUUAACUGAAUCUGGUACAGGAAAGUAUCAAUACAUACUAAACUAAGAUUCUAUACUAUAGUUUGUGGUACAAACAUUGAACAAAAAUGAUUUCCUACAUAAAUGCUACAUAAUUAACUAGGGAAAAUUGGUAGCAACCUCACAGGCAAGCAUACAGAGAGAUAUCCUUGUUAUUGCUCUCAAGUUGAAAGCAAGCAUAUCCCAGAUGAGCAUGAACUAGUUGUCCAACCCAAAUUUUCAAGUAAUCCCACAUUGUGUCUUUUUGUUAUGGCUAAUCAAUACUGGAUAAAGGUCUCUCAGAACUAACUGAAUUUGGUACAGAGAAGUGUUUGUAUAUGCCAAUGGGUUUGCUAGUGUACUACUUAAGCAUACUUCUCUGAAUAUAGCCUUUGCGCAAAAAUAAUUGUAAGCUUCCAAGAUACUGCUACUCAUGUUAAAAAUAUGUUAACUAACCUAAAUGUGCAUAUGCUUAGAAUUUUCAAAAUGUUGCCAUUCAUAUCAUUUCCAAAUAUGCAUAAUUAUACAACAUCCGACAACGAUACAACAUAGUUGUCGGACAAGAAGGAUUUCUUUUACGAGCGCUACAUGAAAUACUACAGAAUUAACUAUGUAAACUGGUAGCAACCUGUCAGACAAGCAUACCUGAAGGCUAGCUGUAGUUUUCUUCUCAGGCGUUACCAGAUGGCGGAGCUAGAGUCGCAGGGGUGCAGGCGACAUGUGGAGAAUGGUCUGGUUGGGUAGGACAAAGGAUGAAGCGAGGUUGUCCUCUGGACGUCGGAGCAAAGUACCUUGGAGAACUUGUCCGCACAAGGCUGUAGCUUAGAACACGCGAGGUCCGUCGGGGCAGUCAGACCACCGGCAACGAGACGGUCGGGUGUUGGAUCUGAACCUCCAAUACAGGCCGCAAUCGCCCGGCUAGGCACCAGAUCUGGCCCGCUGCCACCGUCGGCGGGGCUUGUCAAGUCUCCAAGAGUUGGCGGCCAUGCGGAUUGAGGGAUUUGGGUCUGCUCUGCUGCGUUCCUACGGUAGAGAAGAUGGUCCUGAAAGCAAAACGACUAUAACCAGGGGUGUUUUUUGCAAAGGACCUAGCACAUGUGCACUUGGAUUCAUCCACUAGGAUUCAUCCACUAGAAUCUGGACCAUUCAUCCCGGAUCUGAUGCCUAGACUGAUUUUUUCUAUUUUUCACUGAUAACUCUUCUUCUAUUGUAGUCGCCCCGUGAUAACACCCAGACAGGCGGAGUAGGAGGAGUUGUACCCAUUGGUCUACCCGACGCCCGACAAAACCUGAAGAUUAUAAAGCACCACAUGGUAUUGUUAUUGAAAGUGAAAAUGUGCGAAUCAGCAUGUGAUUAAAUGGUUAGAGGAACAGUGGUAUCUCCAGCCCACCAGGGUUCAAGUCUUGCUGCUGGCAUUAUUUCUAGAUUUAUUUCAGGAUUUCCGACAAUGCGCUUUCAGUGGAAGGAGGUGUUUCCGUUGAUGACGAAGCGCCUACGGUGACUUCGCAAAUCUCCAGAUGAUAUGACGGCUCCUUCUCUUGAAGGAGCUCAUAUGGAUAGGAUGUACGUGUGCAUUCAUAGGGAUGAGUGCAUGCGCAUAUGUAUUAGCGUUUGCGUUUGUACUAUGUUCAAAAAUGAAAGUGAAAAAAUGUGAUUUUGGAACAACUGCCUGAUUUAAAAAAAUAGGGUUUCUGUUGAACAACUAUCGUCUUAAUGCAUAUACAAACGAGAACUUUCACAAAUCAUUGAUUUUCUUCAAAAUCUCUAGUUGAGGAGUACUCGUUGUGAAGAUCACUCCAACUCCCCUGUUUGCGACAAGUGACGCAUAGGCAACGCGCCACUUGUUGCAACAUGAGAGUUUUUUCUUUUUUGUAGAUCCGUUUAUUCAAAACAUUUUAUCUCUCAAACCGUGCGUCCAAAUCACAAACUAGUUAACUAGUUCCUCUCGAUUUUCGUACGUAUACGUGCAUGCCGUACGCCACAUGACCUGGGCCGGCCCAUUUGCGGUAGAGCGUGGUGGAAAAUAAAAAAAAAGUGCUCUACAUGGAAAGGGAAAGCCCUACACACGACCGUCAUUACAAUCAAUUGCGUUGGACUAGAACCAAAUGACUCCUGUGACACUAUUUCAAUGCUAUCCUAAAAGAGACUAAAGAAAGCCGCAACCAAUUUCACAAUAACUAAAAUGGGUGAGCGCGAUCGAACACAAGACAUACCGCGACUGCGUAACGACAAUAGCCACUGCAGCACAUCUGAUUUGUUAGCCGUAAUUGCAACACACUUUAUAUGAACAUAUAAGUCACGAAAGAUUAAAUCUUUGUUUAAAUUUCGCAUGUGAUUUUAUUUUUGACAAUAGUAAAUAUUUCUUCGAAUGUGAACAUUUCUGAAAUUUCUGAACAUCUGUUAAAAAUUAGAAAUAAACUUUAAAAAUAGAAAUGAAAAUAUAUCACUCAGCGACCGGUUUACUAUUUGUUUUUUUGUUCCUUUUACAUGUUUUCGUUUUCCCUUUUUUGUUAUUUCAACAAUAUGCUCGCACUUAUAAAAAAAUGUUCAAAGUUUCAAAUAAUGAUCAUUGUUUCAAAUUUUGUUCAUAAAAUACAAUUGUUCGCAAUUUAAAAUUGUGCAAAAAUUUCAAUAAAAUGUUUGUGUCUUUCAAAAUUGCUCGGAAUGUCAAAAUGCGAAACUCUUUUUUAAAGAGCGAGUGACUGAAAUUAUGAACAUGAACAUUUUUUAAAGACACUAACAAAUAUGAAAUUCCAAACGAAAAACUAAACGUUUUUUUUUGAAUUUCUGCAAACAUUUUUUGUAUCUAUGUAGAAUUAACACCAUGUUCAACGUAGGGUGUCAGGGUAGGCAAAAAGACUCUAUUGGAGAGCAUGUUGUUUCUCAACAUCUCUCAAAUGAUCAUCAUUUUUUUAUUUGCUUGUAUGACCAAUUCAAGGAACCAUGCCAAGUUAUUUUGGUUUUCUACAAAUUUCGCUUUUUCUGGAGUUUUCCCGGUAAAAAAGGUGAUAAAUGGUUAGACAUGUCGCAACUUGCAUACGGUGUCGGAAAUCAUUCAAAUCUGGUAUGCAUACCUACCAUGGGCAUGCCCACCUGCUUGCAAAAGUUGGGGGUCCGUUUAAGAAUGUCCAAAAAUAGACUAUGUUGAACAAAGGGUGUUUGGAUAGGCCAGUAGGCUUUGUGUGACAGCAUGCUGUUUCUUGACAUCCUUGAAAUGGACACUAUUUUUUUACAUGGCCUUAUAUGACCAAUUGAAGCCACCAUGCCAAGUUGGUCGUUUUAGACAAAUUUUGCGUUUUCUGUAUUUUCCUUGGUAAGAAAAGAUCAAUAAAUGGUCGGAUGCAUACUUUGUCGAAAAAUAUUCAAACCUGAUAUGGAUUCCUAUCAUGGUCAUGCCCACCUGCUUGCAAAGUUGGGGUCAUUUAAAAAUGUGCAAAAGUAGAGCAUGUUCAACGGAGGGUAUUCGGGUGGGCCACAAGGCCAUAAGACUCAGUCUCAGUGUGAGAGCAUGUUUUCUUCCACUUUCUUUAAGCCCUAAGUUUUGCCAUGGCCUUGUAUAACCAAUUUAAGGCACCAUGCCAAGUUGUUUUGGUUUUUGAUAAAUUUCACAUUUUGUGGAGUUCUCUCUGUCGAGAAAGGCCGAUAAAUGGCCGCGCGUGUCACAACUUGCAUACGAUGUUGGAAAAUAUUCAACCCUAGCAUGGAUGCCUACCAUAGGAAUGCCGACAUCCUUGCAAAAGUUGGGGUCAUUUAAAAAGAGCCAAAAGUAGGCCAUGUUCAACGGAGAGUGUCCGAGUAGGCCACGAGGCUCCGUCUAAGAGCACCUUGUUUCUCGCCAAUCUUAAAAUGGUUCCAUUUUUUAUCAUGACCUAGUAUGACCAAUUCAAGGCGUCAUGUCAAGUUGUUUUUGUUUUCUACAAAUUUUGCAUCGCGUGGAGUUUUCUCAGUCAAAAAAGAGUGAUAAAUGGGUUGACGUGUCGCAACUUGCAUAUGGUGUCGAAAAUCAAUCAAACCUAGCUUGUAUCCUUAUCAUGGGCAGACUGACCUGCUUGCAAAAUUUGUGGUCACUUCAAGUAUGUACGAACAUAGACCAUGUUGCACAGAGAGUGUUCGGGUAGGCUAGGAGGCCCAGUCUAAGAGCACGUUGUUUCUCGACAUCCUUGAAUGGACCCAUUUUUUUCCAUGACCUUAUCUAACCAAUUGAAGAUACUCCUGACAAUAGUGCCGCUCAGGACAAUGCCAACAACCAGAACGCCGGCAAUGACAACAAUGACGACAAUAUGAUCAACGAGACGAAGAUGACCCUGAGGAUAACAACUACAUGCCAGAGUCCGAGGAAGAUAGAAGCCUCAGGCCUGAUGAAUACGAUCUCUUCGAGGAACCCCUUGAGGUACCUCUGCUCAAAAUAUUCCACGGAAGAUUGGCCAGCACGUACAAAAGCAUCAAGCAAAAGUCCCAGUGGCUUAAAUCCGAACAUAAUGAACUUAAUGAAGGGUAGGUCGAGUCCCUCAGGGCUGAGAAGGAACUUGAUCACAAUCUUGGGAAGGCCAGGGCUAAUCAGUUCUACCCUUGCAGGAUCCCGCUUCCAGAGCUAGACGAGGAGGCCAAGGACAACGUGCUAUCUAAGUGCGAGUGGGCCGAGAAGCCCGACUGCCCUCCUCGAGGCCGAGAUAGGCAAGUAGGCGGGUACAACACUACUAGGAAAAGGCCUACUAAUGGCGCACAAGUUUUGCCUACUAAUGGCGCAUCACUGGUGCGCCAUUAGUAGCACGUCACUAGUAAUUUUUACUAAUGGCGCACCACUGGUGCGCCAUUAGUAUCUGGUAUACUAAUGGCGCACCAUCCAGUGCGCCAUUAGUAUAUAACACCAUGUGCCAUUAGUGUGCCUCCCAAGGGCCAUAUUUAACCAUGUGCUUUGGCACACUAAUGGCGCACUGCGGAUAGAUGCGCCAUUAGUAUACUUGGCAUACUAAUGGCGCACUCUGUAGUGAUGCGCCAUUAGUAUGAAUAUUAGGUUUUUUUACUUUUCUGAUUUUUGCACAUGUUACAAAAUAUAUUAUUUGACAGAAUAUAGACAGUAGCACACAGCAACAGCAGAUUCAUCAAAUACAAUAGAAGAUUAGUCUCCGAAUACAAUUCAUCAUAUUAGUCUCCGAAUUCAAAAGACCGAACAAAGAUAAAACAUUACAAGUCUCGAGACCGCGAGUAUCGAGUUUGUGGGAAGUAAUACUAAUCCUAACAAGUCCUACUAAUCAUCAUCAUACAAUGUCUACUCAUUAUUCAUAACAAGUCAUACGAUCAUCAUCUUGAUAGUCAUUGAACCAACCCUACUUAAUUGUUCUUAGCACAUGAUCAUCCGUAUUAGGCAGGACCUAAAUACCCUAUUUAAGCUAAAAUAGCAUAAAACAAUAUAGACCCUGACUCUCCAUUAUGGAGAAUGGAGAACAUCCUGUCUCCAAUUCUUGCGCUUCGCUUCCUUUUACUUCCAAGAAGCUCCUUACGACUGUCCAUACAUUUUUUCCAUCCUUUGAUUUUCAUGUCUCCACUUCUUUUAGAAAUCUUGUAUGGACAGUUGAGAUUCGUAGAACGACCUGGCUGUAUGUUCAAAACAUUAACACUACCUUUCUGAUACAUCAUAUGAGGCACACAAUUCUCUGGGAUUAUCUGUUGAAAAACAUAGUAAUAACUUCAUAGUUAGCAAUGAUGUACUAGUUUUAGAAGUAUGCAAAAGAUGCACAUAUGUCGUAAUAGUAAAAAUCUUACCAGGGUAUCUCCAUGGUAGUUACCAUAGUUGAACACAUGCACUAGUGGCACGUAUUUACCAUAAUGUUGAGGAGUUUGAUUGUGGAUAGUGUAAUUCUCAAUGUCAGUACAAAAUCUGACCAGAUGAUUUUUCUCCUUGUAAGUUGUUAAUUCGGAGCCAUCGGUGUAGUGGGUUUUGUCUACCAUCUCCCGUACAUUCUAUGAACAAUAAAAAUAAGCUGUCAAUGGAAAUAAGCUGUCAACUAUUUUGAAAUAAACAAUAUAAAUUAGCUAAUAACUAUGUUUGAGAAACUCACAUAGCGGUAGAACUGGAGGCGUAUCAACAAGGACCCAAAUGUCCAUAUUGUCUUGGUUGAUGUCAGGAUUACCAAAACCAUACAUCUUGCAAAAUGCUUCCCAAUUUUUGCAACCAAAAUGGGUUACGCUCUCAAAAUUAUAUAGAUUUACUUCAAAGUCCACAUCGUGAUGAGUCCUUAGGUGAAUUUUCUUUGUUUCAGAAAUUUCAUGGUCUUCAAAAUCCAUCCUCUCCAAGAUAUAGCGUCUUGCAUGGCAUGGGAUAAGCUAUACUCGAAUUGUAAAAGAUGAAAAUUACAUGUUGAAAUAGUUGAAGUCAUGGUUAAUUAUGAAAAUAACACUUGUCUUCGUUGUGUACCAUUUCAACUUCGAAGGUCUCCUCGAGCUUAAUGCUGAAGCGCUGAUCAUCGUCCAGGUGAGGCAUGUCGCACAGACCUCGAUCGUCGUGGCACCAGUCGCACUCCACCGGGAGACUUUCGUCGUCCGAUGAUGGUGACAACAUAUCCUACGUUCAUAAUUCAAAACUACAUCAUUUAGGGUUUGUCGACACCGAGUCAUCCUAAAAGCUAAGCUUUUAUCAUUUAGGGUUUGUUGACGCUGAGGCACCCUAAAAGCCUAAGCUUUCAUCAUUUAGGUUCUUAUCGACACCGAGGCACCCUAAAAGCCAAGGUUUUAUCAUUUAGGGUUUGUCGACGUCGAGGCACCCUAAAAGCCUUCAUCAUUUAGGUUUUGUCGACGCCGAGGCACCCUAAAAGCCUAAGCGUACAUCAUUUAGGUUCUCAUCGACACCGAGGCACCCUAUAGAAGCGAAGUUAAGUUUUCAUCAUUUAGGGUUUAUCGAUGCCGAGGCAACCUAGGUUGGGCCUAAUCACUUGGCACUAAUCACUUGGAUCUAUUGCCACCUAUGUUGGGUUUAUCAUCUAGGGUUUAUCGAUGCUAACGAGAAUUCUAAGUUGGGCCUAAUCACUUGGCUCUAUUGCCACCUAUGGUUUAAUGCAGCAAGAAUGGCGGGGUAGUUGAUCCUACUUAACUAAGUACUAAGAUACCCCGGCCCAUGCAUUAGUCACAAGUACCCCAUAUGUCCUAUUUUUAGCAAAGUCAUGCUAAAAUUCACGGAAAAUUUCAGCAUGACCUUUGCUGAAAAUAGGACAUAUGGAGUACCCGAAUUUGCCGGAACGGAAGUUAAUCGACAUUCCGGCAAACUCAAGGGCCUCUCGGGGUACCUGCAAAUUCAUUACCCCACCCCCACCCAGCUGCAACCCCACAACACCCCACAAUAUCAUCAUGACACGAUGGUCGGAGACAAAACCCCCCAAUAUCAUCAAAAUACUCCAGUUAUGAAGUAAAAUUCCUGAAGUGUUCCAGGAGUAGAACCUGAAGUGUAGUCAGUGGCUUCACCUAUGUGCAUAAAAAUCAUAAAAAUUCAAAAUCAUUUGAAACCUGAUCACUAGUCAUAAAAAUUCAAAAUCAUUCAAAAUCAAAAUCUACUAAUUAGUUCUUGUGCUCAUCUAGUAGCAACAUCUUUCAUACAUGAUCAGUAGUCAUGUACCAAUUUUUUAUUUAAACUGAAUUUGCAAAUCAACAAGAGCUCUACUAGUUUCAGACUAGAUUUACACUAAAUACACUAGAGUAUUUAACCAGUAGUCAUGUGAACUCUUUGAAUUUGUAAACACUUCCAUACUUGAGCAUUGAGAGUUCACAAUUGCAAAAAAUGUCCCUUGUUCCUGAACUUGUAUUGUACUCCAUUCAUUCAAGCAGAAAAAAACAAUUAUUGUUGAUACUCAUGUGCUUCUUUCCAAAUAAUUUUAUUUAUUCAGAGUUUGAGAAAUUUUGAACAAAAAAAGAAUGCAACAUACAGACUGAAUUUGAUGUUCAAAAAUAACUGAUAGUAGCAUGCUAUGGUAUAGAUAAAGUUGGGUCAUAGUAACAAAUAGUAACAUUUCUGGAAUCCAAAUUGAAACAAUAAAUCACAGCUAGCUAGCAACUGAAAAUCAAAUUGGCACUUUCUCCAAACUCAUACAUGUCUUCUCUUUUUGUAGCAUCAGCGCUCACCUCGAUGGAUUAACUGAAUUUUCUACAAACACCAAGUACUAGGGCACACAAAAGUUCUGAAAUUUGUGUGCCUAACUGAAUUAACUGAAUUUUCAGUAACCGAAUAAACUGAAUUUUCAAAACUGACAAAUAUUAAUAGGUUGACUAUAGCAAAUCCAAUUUGCAUGCUUCACUACAUAUAAUUUACAAUAAUCCGAGGGGACAAAUACAGCACUGGAAAAGUCAAUUCAGGUUUAUCUGAAUUGGCAGCUACAGUGAUGCCAUUUAAAGCUAGCUAGAGGGAAAAGCCAUUUAAAAAAAUCCUCUCAUCUCAUAUGAGGAGUGUUAAUCCUAAGACUAAUAGUUUGUUGUGCAGUACAGCUACAGUGAUGCCCUGUCCAUUUUGUCCCUCCCCGACUAGAUACUAGAGUAGCACUGUUGAUGCCCUGUUCUUGCUGAACUUUAUGACAGUAUAUACAACAACUUAUCCUCUUAAGCCAAAACAACUUUCUAAAAGCCAGAUGCAACUUUUUGAGCUAAUUUUGAGCAGAACUCCUUGAGGAACUAGCAGCAAAAGGUACUGAACUAUCAACAAAUGUUAAACUUGCAAGUUUGCUUGUCCGUGCAGAAAACCUCAUUUUGCUGCUAGUUCAGUACCUUUUGCUGCUAGUUCCUCAAGGAGUUCUGCUCAAAAUUAGCUCAACAAGUUGCAUCUGGCUUUUAGAAAGUUGUUUUGGCUUAAGAGGAUAAGUUGUUGUAUAUACUGUCAUAAAGUUCAGCAAGAACAGGGCGUCAACAGUGCUACUCUAGUAUCUAGUCGGGGAGGGACAAAAUGGACAGGGCAUCACUGUAGCUGUACUGCACAACAAACUAUUAGUCUUAGGAUUAACACUCCUCAUAUGAGAUGAGAGGAUUUUUUUUUAAAUGGCUUUUCCCUCUAGCUAGCUUUAAAUGGCAUCACUGUAGCUGCCAAUUCAGAUAAACCUGAAUUGACUUUUCCAGUGCUGUAUUUGUCCCCUCGGAUUAUUGUAAAUUAUAUGUAGUGAAGCAUGCAAAUUGGAUUUGCUAUAGUCAACCUAUUAAUAUUUGUCAGUUUUGAAAAUUCAGUUUAUUCGGUUACUGAAAAUUCAGUUAAUUCAGUUAGGCACACAAAUUUCAGAACUUUUGUGUGCCCUAGUAGUUGGUGUUUGUAGAAAAUUCAGUUAAUCCAUCGAGGUGAGCGCUGAUGCUACAAAAAGAGAAGACAUGUAUGAGUUUGGAGAAAGUGCCAAUUUGAUUUUCAGUUGCUAGCUAGCUGUGAUUUAUUGUUUCAAUUUGGAUUCCAGAAAUGUUACUGUGUGUUACUAUGACCCAACUUUAUCUAUACCAUAGCAUGCUACUAUCAGUUAUUUUUGAACAUCAAAUUCAGUCUGUAUGUUGCGUUCUUUUUUUGUUCAAAAUUUCUCAAACUCUGAAUAAAUAAAAUUAUUUGGAAAGAAGCACAUGAGUAUCAACAAUAAUUGUUUUUUUCUGCUUGAAUGAAUGGAGUACAAUACAAGUUCAGGAACAAGGGACAUUUUUUGCAAUUGUGAACUCUCAAUGCUCAAGUCUGGAAGUGUUUACAAAUUCAAAGAGUUCACAUGACUACUGGUCAAAUACUCUAGUGUAUUUAGUGUAAAUCUAGUCUGAAACUAGUAGAGUUCUUGUUGAUUUGCAAAUUCUGUUUAAAUAAAAAUUUGGUACAUGACUACUGAUCAUGUAUGAAAGAUGUUGCUACUGGAUGAGCACAAGAACUAAUUAGUAGAUUUUGAUUUUGAAUGAUUUUGAAUUUUUAUGACUAGUGAUCAGGUUUCAAAUGAUUUUGAAUUUUUAUGAUUUUUAUGCACAUAGGUGAAGCCACUGACUACACUUCAGGUUCUACUCCUGGAACACUUCAGGAAUUUUACUUCAUAACUGGAGUAUUUUGAUGAUAUUGGGGGGUUUUGUCUCUAACCAUCGUGUCGUGAUGAUAUUGUGGGGUGUUGUGGGGUUGCAGCUGGGUGGGGGUGGGGUAAUGAAUUUGCAGGUACCCCGAGAGGCCCUUGAGUUUGCCGGAAUGUCGAUUAACUUCCGUUCCGGCAAAUUCGGGUACUCCAUAUGUCCUAUUUUCAGCAAAGGUCAUGCUGAAAUUUUCCGUGAAUUUUAGCAUGACUUUGCUAAAAAUAGGACAUAUGGGGUACUUGCGACUAAUGCAUCGGCCGGGGUAUCUUAGUACUUAGUUAAGUAGGAUCAACUGCCCCGCCAUUCUUGCUGCAUUAAACCAUAGGUGGCAAUAGAGCAAGUGAUUAGACCCAACUUAGAAUUCUCGUUAGCAUCGAUAAACCCUAGAUGAUAAACCCAACAUAGGUGGUAAUAGAUCCAAGUGAUUAGUGCCAAGUGAUUAGGCCCAACCUAGGUUGCCUCGGCAUCGAUAAACCCUAAAUGAUGAAAACUUAACUUCGCUUCUAUAGGGUGCCUCGGUGUCGAUGAGAACCUAAAUGAUGUACGCUUAGGCUUUUAGGGUGCCUCGGCGUCGACAAAACCUAAGUGAUGAAAGCUUAGGCUUUUAGGGUGCCUCGACGUCGACAAACCCUAAAUGAUAAAACCUUGGCUUUUAGGGUGCCUCCGUGUUGAUAAGAACCUAAAUGAUGAAAGCUUAGGCUUUUAGGGUGCCUCAGCGUCGACAAACCCUAAAUGAUAAAAGCUUAGCUUUUAGGAUGACUCGGUGUCGACAAACCCGAAAUGAUGUAGUUUUGAAUUAUGAACGUAGGAUAUGUCGUCAUCAUCAUCGGACGACGAAAGUCUCCCGGUGGAGUGCGACUGGUGCCACGACGAUCGAGGUCUGUGCGACAUGCCUCACCUGGACGAUGAUCGACGCUUCAGCAUUAAGCUCGAGGAGACCUUCGAAGUUGAAAUGGUACACAACGACGACAAGUGUUAUUUUCAUAAUUAACCAUGACUUCAACUAUUUCAACGUGUAAUUUUCAUCUUUUACAAUUCGAGUAUAGCUUAUCCCAUGCCAUGCAAGACGCUAUAUCUUGGAGAGGAUGGAUUUUGAAGACCAUGAAAUUUCUGAACCAAAGAAAAUUCACCUAAGGACUCAUCACGAUGUGGACUUUGAAGUAAAUCUAUAUAAUUUUGAGAGCGUAACCCAUUUUGGUUGCAAAAAUUGGGAAGCAUUUUGCAAGAUGUAUGGUUUUGAUGAGGGUACAUGCACCGGGAUGAUUUCAAGAAAAAAUGAAUUGUUUUUUCUUCACUUAUGGGUGGCAUAGUGGGUAAUUUAUGACAACUUUGAGGGAAAUUACGAUGACAUAUGACCAGAAGCGAUAGCUGCUUUAUUAUUAGGAAAAAAACAUUUGAGUCAGGACAAACCUAAAACUUCAAAUAAUUUGAAACGGUGCGGGUAUUAUGCGUUCAUGAUGCAAAUACGUGCGAUCAUAACACCCGGAAGUAGGAGGAGUUGUACUCAUUGGUCUACCCAACGCUCGACACAAACUUGAAGAUUAUAAAUCACCACAUGGUAUUGUUACUGAAAGUGAAAAAUGUGAUUUUGGAACAACUGCCUGAGAUACAAAUAGGAUUUCUGUUGAACAACUCUCGUCUUAACACAUAUACAAAACAGGAGUAUUAUUUGAGAGUGACAGUGAAGGAGGUCAAUAUCCUACUCGACCAAAGGUCAUCAACAUAUAUUAAUCAUCAGGAGAAAAGAAUCAUGCAGUGUUGGGAAUAUGAGCAAAUUACUACGAGAUUUAAUCUGAAUAAACAGAAAAUAAAUCAUGAUAGCACUAGCAGAGAUUAAACUAAUCAUGCGAACUAGCAUAGUAGAUGAACAUAUCACAUCUAGGGCACAUACUAGAAAUAUGAAUUCUACCACGAUCUCGAACAAGAAGGAUAGCAUCACAUACGGUGCAGCAUGAGCAGCACCGCUGGCGUUGAGGUUGUCGGCCAUGUCAUUUAGGAUAAGGAUGCCGAGGUCGGGGAAGAAGUCGUCAUUGGGGAAGUCGUCACUGCCAGCAGUCGCGUGAGUGCGCUCCCCAAAAAUCCUAGUACGUGCCGAGUAAAUGCGUUAGCUCAGGUCUUAGGACAUAUAAUAUAUGUUGUACUAGAGACUCACAGAUGACAUAUCGCUGUGUCUCAUAGUUGGGUCUGUCCGACUUGGCCCUUAUCUCGACUCGGAUCCGACUACGUCGAAUCCGACCAGAUCCUUCCAAGUCCAUAUUAUCCGGUUAGCAUCCAAUGCUCCAUGGCUAGUGAGACCAAGCCAUCGACCGUGUCAUAUGCUAGUCUAGUUGGCUACGCGUCCACACAACCCUUUCGAUUAGGGACCUUUUAGGACAGUCAUCAUACAAUGCAUAGUCCCACAAAUAAGUCACGUACUUGCUGAUACACACCAUUGAUAAUGUCCAAGGACUAUCUUUAUUCAUAAACACAUAGGAAAUAUCAUCAUACAUGAUUGCCUCCAGGGCAUAUCUCCAACAGUCUCCCACUUGCACUAGAGUCAAUCAAAUAGACAUUGAAUGCCCAUAGCUCUAACGUGCCCCUCAUGCUUGGGUUGUGGAAGCGGCUUAGUCAACGGAUCCGCAACAUUUCCAUCCGUGUGAAUUUUGCAUAACUCUACAUCACCACUCUUUACGAUCGUUCGUAUCAGGUGAUAUUUCCGAUCUAUGUGUCUGACCUUGUGGUGAUUCCUCGGCUCCUUGGCUUGUCCGAUGGCACCAGAAUUAUCACAAUAAAGGUCCAACAGUUUUACCGAGGCUGGGAAAAUACCAAGAUCAUCCAGAAAGUUCCGGAUCCAAACACCUUCCUUUGCAGCUUCACAAGCCGGAAUGUAUUCAGCUUCUGUAGUAGAAUCGGCACCCGUAUCUUGCUUGGAACUCAUCCAGCUCACUGCUCCUCCGUUCAUGACGUACACGAAUCCGGACUGUGAUCGACAAUCAUCUCUGUCGGUUUGGAAACUAGCAUCGGCGUAACCCCUUACGACGAGUGAGGGAGUCCUGGAUUAGGGGGUAUCCGGACAGCCGGACUAUAACCUUUGGCCGGACUAUUGGACUAUGAAGAUACAAGAUUGAAGACUUCGUCCCGUGUCCGGAUGGGACUCUCCUUGGCGUGGAAGGCAAGCUUGGCUAUACGGAUAUGUAGAUCUCCUUCCUUGUAACCGAAUCUGUGUAAUCCUAGCCCCCUCCGGUGUCUAUAUAAACCAGAGGGUUUAGUCCGUAGGACACAAUAACAACAAUCAUACCAUAAGCUAGCUUCUAGGGUUUAGCCUCUCUGAUCUUGUGGUAGAUCUACUCUUGUACUACCCAUAUCAUCAAUAUUAAUCAAGCAGGAGUAGGGUUUUACCUCCAUCGAGAGGGCCCGAACCUGGGUAAAAACAUCGUGUCCCUUGUCUCCUGCUACCAUCCGCCUAGACGCACAGUUCGGGACCCCCUACCCGAGAUCCGCCGGUUUUGACACCGACAUUGGUGCUUUCACUGAGAGUUCCACUGUGCCGUCGCCAGAAGGAAGGAUGUCUCGUUUCGUCUUUAAAGACGGUACUACUGUUGGGGGAGCUUUGGCUGUCGGGCACACUCUCCGGCUAGGCGGUUUCAUCAUGACCGCCUGUUCAGCCGCCGCACCAACGAUGACUUCUCGGGUCAUGGAAAACAGCCUCCACGUCGAAUCGGCACUCACCGAAUAGAUGUAUCCAAUGGAGCUCGUCUCCUUAAAUGAGCUCUUGGAUCGCAUCGCCGCCCUGGGAGUCGCUACGGACUAUGAUCAGAUUGGGCUUAAACCCGAUCUAAGGGAGAUUAACUCUCCACCGGUCACCCAUCAUAUUGCAGUGGUGGAGGAACAAUGCGGCGACCUUUCCUCUAUCUUGAGGACCAAUUAUGUCCGGAUUCCCGAGCUCUCCGACCUGGAUGCCCGUUCGCAGGAGGACAACAUCCAAUCCCUGAACUUAGAGUCAGGCAGCGGGCCAGGAUUAUCGGGUAACACCCCGGAACCGGAACUUCCAAAAUUGGAAACUCCUCGGCCCCUGGAUCCCAGAUCGGGUAAGGGUUCAGAUUCAAUUCCACCCACCCACCCAAACAUAAGUGAUCUUUCCCACAUCAGGUAAGAGCCCCGGGAAAUAGUACAUCACUAUUGGGCUAGAUUCCUCCUUGCGAUGAACAAGGUUAAGGACUGUCGCGAGGAAGACGCAAUCCUAUUUUUCUGCAAUAAUUACACGAACAAGGGUAUCCUUAAUGCCAUACAUCGCCGUGAGAUAACACGCUUCGCUGACUUGGUGUCCAUAGUACGAAAGUACUGUGCGAUGGAAAGUGCGUGGAAAACCGAAACAAACUUUUGGGAUAAUCCGGCCCUGAAUAGAAACCCAGUCCGAAAUAAAAGGGUGCAUUAUCACAAUACACCCGGGUCAACUACCAAAAAGCAAAAACCCUCUACAGGGCAUGGAACCGUACUGGAGGGAUGGCUCAACGGACCCUGCAAAAUUCAUAGUACAGAAGGUGCCACACCAACACAUAGCCUUAGAGCAUGUUGGAUACUCCGGCAGGUAGCCAAAAGUGGCAAGGAUAUUCUCAUCCCAGAGGCCACAGAGCACCAUCCCAGGGAUAACAAUACGGUAUUAUCAGUCUUUGAGACCUUCGCAUCAAAUAAUAGGCAAAAGAGAACGCUCCACAGCCUUGCCGAAAUCUACCAUGUGGCAACAUUAAAUCCAUGGAGUGACACGGCUAUUACCUUCAAUGUCAGUGAUGAACCUAAGUUCCAAACAGCCCGAGCACUAGCUGCAUUGGUCCUCAGUCCAAUCGUGGACGGCCUUCGAUUCACCAAGGUGCUCAUGGACGGCGGCAGCGGAUUAAACCUCAUCUACGAGGAAACCCUUCAAAAAAUGGAAAUAGACUAGAACCGCAUCGAGCGAAGCAGCACAACCUUUAGAGGAAUAAUCCCCAGUCGAGAAGCGCGCUGUAUAGGCAAAAUCACACUAUAUGUGGUGUUCGGCACGACGGAGAAUUACAGGUCCGAAGAGAUUACGUUCCAAGUGGCCCCGUUCAAUAGCGGAUACCACGCCCUUCUAGGGCAGGAGGCGUUCACAAUCUUCCAAGCCAUACCCCAUUACGGGUACAUGAAGCUCAAAAUGCCUGGGCCCAACGGAAUCAUCACUCUCGCUAGCGAUCCGGACACAGCACUCCGCGCUGAAAACAAGACAGCCGCAUUGGCCCUCAAGGCAUUAUCCGAAGCCCUCACGGCCGAGGAACUGACUGCGCUGCGCUCCACGGUGGAUAGGGACGACGUGCUACUUGAUAAGAGAUCCAAGUCUACCUCCUUUAAACCAGCGGAUGAAACAGUCAAAAUCCAAGUCCAUCCAACGGACCCUACAAAAACAGCCACUAUCGGGGCACGGUUAAGCCCCACCGUGGACGCUGCACUACGAGAUUUCCUGCGCAAGAAUUGGGACAUAUUCGCCUGGCAUCCCUCAGAUAUGCCAGGAAUCCCACGCAGGCUGGCCGAGCAUAGCCUCAACAUCCUAAAAGGAUUCAAGCCGGUCAAGCAGGCUCUUCGGCAUUUCUCUGAAUCUAAGAGACAAGCUAUGGGAGAGGAACUAGCCAAGUUAUUGGAGGCCGGAUUCAUUAGAGAAAUAAAACACCCGGACUGGCUAGCAAACCUGGUGAUGGUACCAAAGAAGGUUAAAUCAUGGCGCCUGUGCGUCGAUUUCAAGGACCUCAACAAGGCCUGCCCAAAGGAUCCCUUCCCCCUCCCCCACAUCGAUCAAAUUAUCGAUGCUACCGCAGGACACAACUCAUUGUGUUUCCUCGACACAUACUCCGGCUACCACCAAAUUAAGAUGGCGGCGCCCGACCAAGCCGCAACGGCAUUCAUCACACCAUACGGACCCUUCUGCUUCAACACAAUGCCCUUUGGGCUCAAAAACGCCGGCGCAACAUAUCAGUGCAUGAUUCGGACAUGUCUGGCAAACCAGAUCGGCAAAACAGUGGAGGCAUACGUAGAUGAUGUGGUGGUCAAAACCAAGCAUGUCGACUCUCUAGUAGACAACUUGAGACUCACAUUCGAUAACCUCCGAACAUAUGACAUCAAGCUCAACCCGGAAAAAUGCGUUUUCGGCGUGCCUGCCGUAGAGCUCCUGGGCUUCAUUGUAUCCGGCAGAGGAAUUGAAGGAAAUCUGGCCAAGAUCCAAGCUCUGUCAUAGUUGGAUAUCCCAACAGACCUCAAACAAAUCCAGAAAUUAACCGGAUGUGUGGCGGCUCUAAGCCGCUUUGUCUCCCGCCUGGGAGAAAAGGCAUUACCCAUUUAUCGCCUCCUACGGCGCACCGAACACUUCGAGUGGACGGAUGCCGCCACAGCCGGGUUGGAAGAAAUAAAAACCAUAUUAGCAACCAACCCAGUCCUGGCCACGUUAAACGUUGGCGAACCAUUACUGUUAUACAUUGCGGCAACCCAUCAAGUUGUGAGCGCAGUGCUCGUCGUCAAACGAGAAACAGACGGACAUAAAUCCCCCUUUCAAAAGUCGGUCUACUAUGUAUCCACUGUCCUUACUCCAUGCAAGUCACGGUACCCGCAUUAUCAAAAGAUAGCAUACGCGGUAUUCAUGGCAUCCCGGAAACUGCGACACUACUUUCUAGAGUGUUCGAUAACAGUAGCCUCGGAAGUGCCACUUAAUGAUAAUAUAAACAACCGCGACGCCAUGGGCCGGAUUGCCAAAUGGGUCAUUGAGCUCCUCCCAUUCGACAUAACUUACAAGCCGCGGCGAGCCAUUAAGUCGCAAGUACUGGCCCCUAAAGACUACGACGCGUAUUCCUACUGGAUCAUGCACUUCGACGGCUCCAAAAUGUUGGCUGGUCUGGGGGCUAGCAUCGUUUUGACGUCCCCAACCGGAGAUACAGUUCAAUAUGUACUCCAGAUAUUGUAUACGGACUCCAACAACCCAGCCGAAUAUGAGGCCCUUUUACAUGGUCGCCGGAUGGCAAUAUCCAUGGGCAUUCAAUGCCUAGAGGUGCGGGGGGAUUCGAACCUUGCAAUAUCCCAAAUAAACGGAGACUUUGAUGCCAAGGAUCCGAAAAUGGCGGACUAUCGCAACGCCGUCCUAAAAAUGUCAGCUCGGUUCGAGGGGCUCGAAUUUCACCAUGUAGCCCGGGAACACAAUCAGGCGGCAGAUGUCCUCGCACGCAUCGGUGCAAAACGCGAUGCAGUCCCCCAACAUCUUUUUGGAGAGGCUGUUCAAGCCAUUCGUGGUAUGGGAAGGGGAACCCAGCAAUAACAGCCCGGACCCAACCGCAAUGCCCGAUACCGAACACUCUGACAUAAUCGGAGGCUCUGCCACCGAAAUAACAUCAUCAGCCCACGUUAUAAUGGACAGAACCAUUCUUGGCUUACCUAACUAGGCAAGAACUCCCCGAGGACCAAAAUGAGGCACGCUGCAUAGUGCGGCAAUCUAAAGCCUAUAAGAUCCAUGAGGGAGAGCUUUAUAAGAAAAGCACCACCGGAGUCCUUCAAAGGUGCAUCUCCGAAGAGGAAGGGCGGAAGCUUCUGGCUGAAAUUCAUGCCAGACUCGGACGCCACCACGCUGCAGCCCGGGCCCUUGUAAGCAAGGCCUUCCAUAUAGGUUUUAUUGGCCGACGGCCUGGGCAGACGCUCAGGACUUAGUCCAACGCUGCGUUGGUUGCCAGCUUUUUGCAAACCAAAGCCAUAUGCCACCCACCGCCCUCCAAACAAUCCCCAUUACCUGGCCCUUCGUGGUCUGGCGGCUCGACAUGGUUGGACCCGUUAAAGGGGGAACCCACAAGAGGAAAUACUUGCUGGUCAUGGUGGAUAAAUUCACCAGAUGGAUAGAAGACAAACCUGUUAAAACAGCCGAAUCCGGACCGGUGAUAGACUUUAUAUCCGGGGUUUUACACCGUUAUGGCGUCCCCCACAGCAUCAUCACAGAUAACGGCACGAACUUCACGGCCGACGAGGUAAAACUCUGGUGCAAAAACAUGGGCAUCAAGCUCGAUUAUGCUUCCGUCUAUCACCCACAAACUAACGGUCAAGUCGAGUGAGCAAAUGGUCUUAUCAUGAGCAGCAUCAAACCCAGACUAGUGCGGUCCCUAAAGGAAUCUAACACGCACUGGGUAGAGGAGCUCGCCUCCGUACUCUGGGGGCUGCAGACCACGCCGAAUCACACUACCAGAUACACACCAUUUUUUAUGGUAUACGACGCAGAGGCGGUUCUGGCCUGUGACAUAAUUCAUGACUCACCUCGAGUGCGCAUGUACGAAGAAAGAGAGGCCGAGCUCGAUCGGCAGGAUAGUUUGGACGCCCUGGAGGAGGAGCGUGACGUGGCAAAAGCCCGUUCCGCAUUCUAUCAACAGCAGGCUCGAAGAUACCAAAGCAGAGAAGUACGGGCCAAAACCUAUAACGUUGGCGAGUUAGUUCUACGCCUGCCGGAGAAGAAAAAGGACAAACUAAAGCCCAAAUGGGAGGGUCCCUUCAUUAUUGACCAAGUUAUGACUGGUGGAGCAUACCGUCUGCGGGAUGCAUCGGAUAAUCGACUUGAGCCGAACCCAUGGAACGCAACCAGACUCCGAAGAUUCUACGCCUAGCGCCGGACUCUGUGUUCGUCUCCUUCCUCUGUCCACUUUUUACUAUCUGUCUUUUAUUUCUCUCCUUCUCCCCUUCUUUUCUCUCACAGCCUUUAAGGGCCAAUUUGUGCCUUAUUUGCGCACAACGGACGCGAUAUCCGCGCUCAUUAUACCCGGGGGCUUCUCUCACAGAAGCUUAUUUAUCUAUACGGGCUUCAUGCUGAGCACAUGUGUCAUUCUUCCGCAUGUACCUUUUAUUCACCAUUGUAUGCAUCGAUAUGACUUAAGUUUUGGCUAAGCCGGGUUGCCUUACUCUUGUAUUUAUGCCUUACGUUCCCUUUAAUUCGGCUAGGGCAUAAGGGGAGCACCUCUGCGAUUGUUACUGCCGGGUUAGCCGGAUGUGUACCUCAGACUAGGUGAAGCCGAAAGCUAGUGUUCUUAAGGGAAUAUUCGGUCGGUGAACAAAAGAUGAUUUUUUACUUAUUUAUAUAUGUACCCCAGAUGCUCUUUUCUGCGUCUCUUUUCGCAGUCCGGACGUGCACUUUAGGGCAUGCGAACCCAGGGAAAGGAACCCCUAACGGAACUAUUCUCCCUGGAAGAUGUUUCUUACUAACCAUGUAAUAUAACAUAACUAGUUGGGCACUUGUCUGUUCAAUCACUAAUGACCCCUACGCCUGGUUUCCAUGCAUGCCCCGGUUCUGACAUAACCGAGAGGGUAUUCGGAUACACUCCGGACUAUCGGGUCCCGAGGUUGAAGCGGAAGGUCCGCCAUGACAAAUGAUCUACAAUCCGGCUAGAAGGCAUUAUACAUGUCAAUUUAAUUACAUAGUCAAUUUGACUGGUUAAAUUCCUCUUCUAUACCAUCCAACAAGCUGUCUAGUCUAUAGUCCUAUUGGGAAUACUUUGCGGCCAAUUCUACUUGCCCGUACACUAAGCUCACAGAGAUCUCUUUCCCAUCAGGCCCCACAGGUCCGACCUCGGCCAUGUGAUUUGGGUCAGCCUUGGUAUACCGUGUCUUCACCAUGGCCCAGGCUUCCCUGGCACCUUGAUGGAGGGCCGAUAUCUUCCAUAAUCAGAAGCGCCGACGCGCUCCCUUAAGCUUCUCCGCAAGCUCUCCAAGACCUUCAGGCAUGGAGUCGGAUGGCCAUAAGGCCUGGGCAACACCUCGCAUCACUUGCCGAACCCGUUCGUGAAGUUGCGACAACUCUGGUAGAAGAUCACCUGCAGACCCGGGCAUCUCAUCCGCGGGACGACCCGUCAGCAUACCUACAGACAUAACUCUGUUAGCAGGCUUCUUCGCCGAACUCUUUUUAACAAGUUCGUUCAAGCACUUACUGAAAAUGCCGCGUCGAAGCCGCUGAUUCUCCUUCACGGAGUCCGACAGUUGGGCAUGAACGUCCUUUAGUUCCACGCCCAGCUGGGUGUUGGCAUCCUGGAGGUUAUUUUUCUCCUGCCUAACCCUCGUAAGCAUGCUCUCGCCUGCCUUUAGCCGGCGUAAGAGAUGUUGCUCAUCCGGAUUUCCUCCGGCGUCAUCUGCAAUAUUUGUUGUCAGAUGUGAACAUAUGCCACACUCUAUACGGUAUCUAUCAUUUUAAAUAUGUGUUACCAGAGGGGGUCUUCUUGGACUUCUCUUCGGCGGCCAGUGCGUCCUGAAGUUGGGCCUUACACUCUUCAAGCUCAUGGGACAAUUGGGUAUUCUUUUCUAUAAGAACCUGCAUAACAAAUGAUCCUUAAAUCAAUUAUUCUAACUGUUUCAAGUCUCAGGGGCUACUACUAUAUAUAAUCAUCAAAUUCUCUCACCUUUAUAUCCUUUACAUAUUCGUCCGUGCCUCUGGCUAGACCAUUCUGAGCAGCACGGAGGUACGCGUCUCACGAUUUAAAGGCGUCAAAUGCCUCCUGGGAGAAACAAGCGUCACGGAGAACGGCUCGGUGACGCCUGUGGUUCAUGGCGCUCUCCACCUCAGAAAUUGUGGCGGACAUUCUGUCUGCAUCCUCUGUUGGAGGAGCAUCCGGCAUGCGCCUCGUAUUCGCUCCCGCUUUCGGGUCCAGCCUUGGAGCCUGACUGGUGGAGGCAUGAUUGGCGACGUCUCCGGAUAUAGUCUGGCCAGCGUUCUUCUUCCUAAGAAAGCACGAGCGUUAAUAUGCCUUUAAAAAUGAUACCAUGGAGUGAGGUGGCGCGCCAUACCGCUGCGCCAGUGUCUCAGUCCGGACUGCAUUUCUUUUCGGCCUGCCCGGCCUCGCAGCCCCUUCCUGGCUAGUCGCCGCGGGCUCAGCAUGACGUCCUGAGGGCCUCCCCUGUAAAACACUGUUGGUAUACGGUAAGCAAAGUGCACACGGAUGAAUCCUUUUCAAAAUGUUGGGACUUUGGUCUCAGUUACCUGCGAAGCUGGGAGCAGCCCAGGGUAAUCGGCCAUAAUGGCCACCAAGGCCUCUAUAGGAUCGAAAGUAUGUCUAGAGGGGGGUGAUUAGACUACUUGACCAAAUAAAAACUUAACCUUUUCCCAAUUUUAGUUCUUGGCAGAUUUUAGCUAUUUUAGGACAAGUCAAGCAAUCAUCACACAAUUCAAGCAAGCAUGCAAAGAGUUUAUGGGCAGCGGAAAGUAAAGCAUGCAACUUGCAAGAAUAUAAAGGGAAGGGUUUGGAGAAUUCAAACGCUAUUGGAUACACGGAUGUUUUUCCCGUGGUUCGGAUAGGUGGUGCUAUCCUACAUCCAUGUUGAUGGAGACUUCAACCCACAAAGGGUAACGGUUGCGCGAGUCUACACAGGGCUCCACCCAAGGGCAACGGUUGCGUGAGUCCAUGAAGGGCUCCACCCACGAUGGGUCCACGAAGAAGCAACCACCCACAAAGGGUCCACGAAGAAGCAACCUUUUCUAUCCCACCAUGGCCAUCGCCCACGAAGGACUUGCCUCACUAGCGGUAGAUCUUGACGAAGUAGGCGAUCUCCUUGCCCUUACAAACUCCUUGGUUCAACUCCACAAUCUUGUCGGAGGCUGCCAAGUGACACCUAGCCAAUCUAGGAGACACCACUCUCCAAGAAGUAACAAAUUGUGUGUAGGUAAUGAACUCCUUGCUCUUGUGCUUCAAAUGAUAGUCUCCCCAACACUCAACUCUCUCUCAUAGGAUUUGGAUUUGGUGGAAAGAAGAUUUUGAGUGGAAAGCAACUUGGGAAGGCUAGAGAUCAAGAUUCAUAUGGUAGGAAUGGAAUGUCUUGGUCUCAACACAUGAGUAGGUGGUUCUCUCUCAGAACAUAUGCGUUGGACUGAUGUGUGUGUUCUGAUGGCUCUCUCACUAAAUGAGAAAGAGGUGGAGGGGUAUAUAUAGCCUCCACACAAAAUCCAACCGUUACACACAAUUUACCAAUCUCGGUGGGACCGAAUCAGAAAACUCAGUCUGACCAAAAUAGUAAACCUAGUGACCAUUAGGAAUUUCGGUGGGACUGACAUGCAACUCGGUAGGACCGAUUCAGUUAGGGUUUGGCAUAACGUAAUCUCGGUGAGACCAAUUACACAAACUUGGUGAGACCGAAUUUGGUAAUUAGCUAACCAGAGAGUUGGUCAGGCAAACUCGGUGGGACCAAUUUGCUCUUUCGGCGAGACCGAGUGGAACUCGGUGAGACCGAAAAGUUACAAAGGGGAAACACUGAGUUUACAUUGCAAUCUCGGUGGGACCGAUUCGCUCUUUCGGUGGGACCGAAAAGUUACGAAAGGGAAACAGAGAGUUUGCAACCCCAUCUCGGUGGGACCGAGAUCCUUAUCGGUAGAACCGAAUUGCUAGGGUUUGGCAGUGGCUAAUGACAAGUGAAACUCGGUGGCGCCGGAUAGGAAGAAUCGGUAGGACCGAGUUUGGCUUAGAGUUUAGGUAAUAUGUGGAUAUGGGAAAGUAGUUGAGGGUUUUUGGAGCAUAUCACUAAGCACAUGAAGCAAGAGGCUCAUUAAGCAACACCUCAUCCCUCCUUAAUAGUAUUGGCUUUUCCUAUGGACUCAAUGUGAUCUUGGAUCACUAAAAUAUAAAAUGAAGAGUCUUGAGCUUUUGAGCUGGAGCCAAUCCAUUGUCCUUAGCAUUUUGAGGGUUCCACUUUCACAUCCAUGCCAUGCCAAUCAUUGAGCUUUCCUGAAAUAAUUAUCUUGGAAUAGUAUUAGCUCAAUGAGCUAUAUGUUGUUAUGAAUUACCAAAACCACCUCGGGAUAGUUGCACUUUCAAUCUCCCCCUUUUUGGUAAUUGAUGACAACAUAUAGAUCAAAGCUUCGACAAAAGAUAAUAAGCAUGAAAUAUAUCGUCGUUUUGAGAAGUAUGUGAUAAGUAAGAGCUCCCCCUAAAUUUGUGCAUAUUUAAAAUUUGCUUUGGACUGCAAAUGCACAAUGAGUUAGAGUCAUGGGUUACUCUUCCAUGUCACAUACAUCUUGGUGGAGCGCUCAAAAUGAUGAGAUUGAAAUGCAUGCACUCAUCACCAAGAAUAGUGAAUGAUCACAAACGAUAGAUAGAAUGGUAAUAUUUAAGCAAGCAUUAAGCAAACAUUAAGUGUAGCUUAUGAUCAAACACAUGAUCAUCGAUGUCUCACAAGCAUAAGGAUGUAGUAUCUCACACACAAGCAAACAAGGUUUGAAAAACCACCAAAUAAAGCAAGAGAGAAAAGCAACACUCUCUCUCGCUCUCGAAGCCUAUGAUCUAUACAUCUUCUCCCCCUUUGGCAACAAGUUACCAAAAAGUUCCUAGAAAAUGCAUAGCACUAGAUCGACGCUCAGGCUUGAUCUUCAGGAGGUGGUGGAGUCCGGAGCACUCCAAUGACAAAGCCUUCGGUAGACGUGGUCGGAGUCGAGGCUGAAGUGGAUGCUGGAGCUGGUGGAACGGAGGCUGUGGCUGGUGCAGACGUUGUAGCUCUGGUGUCAGCAACUGGCAGUGCAGACGACCUCGGACCUCGUGGCACCCUCGCAAAAGCAUGAGUCGUGGUCCUGCCUCUCCUCUCAAUCAUGUCGUCCUGGAGCUGCUCCACGGCAGUCUGUAUCUCUGUCACCUUGAUGUCCAAGUCAUAGAAUCUUUGUUCCAUGAUCCUCUCUAAGCUCGCCUGGUUCUAAGUCAGGGUGGCUAUACUCUGCUCAAUCCGCAGGGUGGACGCAAUCAAGUAACUGAGCUGCUCUUGUUUGGUCUUCAGGAAGUAAUCAGAUGCCUCCGCUUGAGUAGGCAUCCUGGCAGCUUUCUCCUUCUGAGCUUGUGCAUGGGCAGAUGAUGGUUCAUUCUCUGUCAUCACAACUUCAUUGUUCUCGAAAUCUGGGCGGAUGGGCAGGUGUUCCUUAUCCAACAAAUAUACGCCUGUGCCCAUCUUGGAGUUGAUGAGCUCCUGAAUCUGAGGGGCAUAUCCACACCUCCUUUUCUGAUCUGCCGCAGUCCUUUUGAUCGUUUCCACUAUGAGGCUCAUAACUUUGAAUUUUUGAGGCACGUCAAAAACAUGAAGCAAAUUGAUCGCGUGACCUCUGAUCAUCUUGUGAUCUCCAGACUUGGGCAGAAGGGUGUGCCUAAGGAUCCAGUUGAUCGUAGGCAAUCCUGAGAGCAGAUAAUGCACUGAGCCAAACUUGAACGUGUCAAGUGCUUCAUUCGGAAUCUCCUUGUACAUGUUGGACAUGGAGUUGUGGUCCAUCUUUUUCUUGGCAUAAAUGUCCAAGUCAUCUGCUUGCUCCUCUGGGGCAUUGAUCAGCUUCGCCCAUUCCUCAACAGUAGAGUGGUACCUCGUACCCUCAGACAUCCAUGUAAUCCUCCCAUCUGGAUAAAAGUGAGCUGUGGAGUAGAACUGCAUGAUGAGUUCCUCGUUCCACUUUGUGAGCUUCUGCCCAACAAAGUCCUCUACUCCACACGCCUUGAAGCUGUCCUGAACUCCUGGGUAGUACUCUUCAUUGUCCUUGAUAUAGGUCCAGUCGACCCAUCUCAUGUCACAUACGAUUGGCUUCUUGUCAAGUAGCACUGUCUCAUAGAAAUCUUGCUGCUCCUUGGUAUGAAAUCUGUAGUCCACUGCAGUCCUUCUCCUAGAAGCAUAUGGAUCUGCUUCUCUCCACUUCCUGAGCCCUGAGUCUCUCCUGAGCUUCAUAUCCUCAGCCACAGGAUGAGCAUCGUUGUGGUCUGGGAUCUUGGGCUUGAGCUUCCGAAGGACACUCUCUUCCUCUUCCUCUGCAACAGUCUCGGGUACUGGGGCCUUGUUCUUCUCAGUGGCUGGGAUGCUUCUUGUGUUUCUCUUUGGUGCACUCUUAGGCUUAGAUGCAGCCUUAGGUGCUUCCUUGGGCUUGGAUGCAGCUCCCCCUGACCUUAUGGCAUCUCCCAUAAGUUUGGCUGCCUUGGGCGCUGGUGCAGCUGCCUCUUCUUCCUCCUCCUCUUCUACCAUGAUGGAGGCUUUCCCAAGCACUCUGGCUACAGUCUUCUUCACUCUUUCUUUCCUCUUCUUGCCCUCAGCUGCAACGGGCUCAAUGGGAGCAGGCUUCUCAGUUGAGGCUCUAGCCUUUGACAUGGGUUGCCUGCCUGCUGGCCUCUUGAUUUUCAGGCCUGGCUUUGAGCCUUGAGCUGGCUCAACUCUCUUGGAGGUGGCCUCUUCCUCUGCCACAUAGUCCUCAUCUUCAGAAUCUGAGGUUUUCUUCUUCCUUUGUCUCGUGGCAGCUUUAGGCAGGUUGCUGGGUGUGCUCCUACUGCCAUCAUCUGAGGAACUUGAGGGGCUAGUGCCCUCACUCAACUGCACUUGCUGCUCUGACAAGUUUUGGCUGUCACUCUGGUCUGACAUGUUGCAAACUGACUGCUGACCCUGUGAAUAGAUUACAGAGGAGAUAGAGUGGAUGAGCAUCACAAAAUGCAGAGAUUUUUGCAAAAAGAAUGAUCCAAAAACUUAGUUUUAGUUUCCCACUGAAAUCAUCUCGGAUCUACCGAUUUUCAAACUCGGUGAUACCGAAGCAGUUUUGGAACCUAAACUAGUGAACUCGGUCAGACCGAGUCACAGUUCGGUGGCACCGAGACUGCUAGGGUUUCACUGAGUUCAAAAAUCGGUCACACGGAUAGUAAUUCUCGGUCAGACCGAGUUUUACUUGUGCAAUGACAUAAGCCAAAUCGGUGGGACCGAGUUUUUCAACUCAGUGGGUCCGAGAUGGUUUCGGCGGAAACCUAAACCUAGAAUUUUCGAAUCAAACCUAAUCUAUGAGCAUUUUGAGUGGAUAGAAGUUUAUCAAACGUGGCCAGAAACAAUGUGAUCACAAUGUGCUAGGAAUCAGAUUGAGGAAUAGCACAAAGAUCAAGUCCAUACCCUAGUUCGGCGGGGACUUGCUACGGCGGCAAUGGCUGGGCAGAAAUCCCGUUGACGGCGACAGAGACCAGCGACUGGAGGCUGCUGGCGGCGAGAAGACGAUCCGGAGACCUCGGGGGCAGAGCAGGCUAUCGCGCGGGCGAAGGGGUUCGGAGAAAUUACCAAAUUUUGCCCGUGACUAUAUAUAGCCCGACCCUGUCGGUGUGACCGAGUUGAACAACUCGGUGGCACCGAGAUUCAUAACUGCGUGCAGUUACUGAAACUCGGUGAGACCGAAAGGUUCAAAUCAGUUGCACCGAGAUUGAAAACUUAGAUCAACUUAAUGAUCUCGGUAGGACCGAAAGUGGAGUAUCAGUCAGACCGAGAAUCAUAAAGAGGUUUUGGAAGUUUAAGUCUAUGAUGAAUCGGGGACUCCGAGCGCUCCUCACACAGAGUGGUUCGAAUCUGACUUGAUCAAAUUUUGUGAUGCAGCAUGAAUAGAGUUUGAGACGAGAAAAGCAAAGAUAGCUAGAGGAGGUUCUUAGGCAUUCUUGUCCAUCCACUUGGCAAAAGAAGAUAAAGCCGAACAAUCAAAGCAACAAGUGGAUGUCCUCGAAUGAGUAAAAUAUGCAAUCAGCAUGCUCACACAAUAAGAUAGCAAAUGAAAUAUGUGGCAAAGCAUGCACAACCAAUUCUAGCAUCUAUCAAGCAAUUUGUGAUGACCAGGUCAUCUAUAUAUGAGUAUAUUGACUUAGGAGUCAAGUGAGAACACUUGAUCAUAGGUCAUACUCAUCGUUUAAGCUCAAGUGGGGUUACCACUUUUACAUAAAGCAUUGUUUUGUUCACAUCUUUAGAGUUGCUUUAGCUCAGUCUUAGAGUAAAGCUCCCCCUAGAUGUGAUAUCCCCCCUAAGAGGGAUGAACUAACCUUGGGUUUUGUCGAUGAUGACUUCAUGUAGACAUUGAAGAUGUGGAUGCUCAAUGUUGAUGUAGAUCUCUUGGAGCUAUCCAUUUGAGUGAAUUGCACUUUCAAUACCUACAUGGGUUAGUCCCACAAGGAACAAACAAGGAUAUCCAUAGACAUAGAGUGAUGCACACAAAAGAUGAUGUCCAUGAAAACUUUUAGGUUACCUUGUCCCUUGUCUUACCAACAAGAGGGUUUGUGACUCCUUGAACUAGUGCAAGAUGUGGAAGUUGAUUGCACUUGUUCUUGCCAAAAUGAUAAGAGUGAAGUAUGUUGGCGGAGUCACCCUCAAGAACUCUCUAGUUCUCCUUCUUUUGGAUCCACAUCAUCUUGAUGGGAAUCCUUGGAGUUGUAGUCGUACUUGAUGAAGUGGAACUUGAGGUAGUCUUGGGAAUCCACUUGACUAAGGUCUUAGGAGCUUCUUCAAAUGCAUCAAUUUCCUCUUGAAGCUUGUCCUUGCCUUUUUGCUCGUAGUCUUGUGGUGGAAGAUCAUCUUGAGCUUGUGUCCCCUUGAAAAACUUCUCUUGUUGAGGGACAAACUUUGUCUUGGGGUAUUGAUCUUCUUCCCAUUCAACUCCAUUGGCAUUGAACUUUCGUUCAAACCCAAUACCUUGAUUCUUCCAGUGCAUUCCUUGCUUGCGCACAAUUUCCUCGAAUUGCUUACUCCCGGCAAGGCUUUUGUACACUCCUUUCUCUAUAAUUCCCUUCAAUAAGCUAUUUUCUUGAUCAAGUGUAACUUGGCUAAGAGAAUCAUUAGUGUAAUCAAGAGAACUACAAGAAGCAACAAUAUUGGAUUUAGCAUGAUCAUUGUUACUACUAGCGGAAGAAUCUUUCUUGUUAGAUUUGACUUGAGGCAUGUAAGUGGAUAAGAGUAAACGCUUGGCAAUGUAAGAAGAACUUUUCUUGCGGAGAUCAUCAUUGAUUGCCUUUAAGAACUCAUGCUCUUGCUCAAGAUUAAGCUUUUCAAAGCGUAGCUUCUCAUGAGCUCUUAAAAGUUCUCGAUGAUCUUCGAAGAUAGUGUCAUGAGCUAACUUAAGAGUUUUUAGUUCUUUAGUUAGAGCCUCAAUCUUCUCCUUAUCAUUGUCAUUCGUUUUAUCUUGAUUAGCAUGAUUAAUUGGUCUUUCAUCAUAGUAUUCAUCACUAGAGUUGUCACCAAGCAAAUCAUCACCUCACAAGUCAUCUUCAUCACUAUUGAAAUCAGUGUGUUACCUUAGGACCUUUGGCCAUGAAGCAUCUUCCAAUUCCUUCAUUUGGUGAGUCAAAUAUGUCGUAGGAGUUGGUUGACACAAGUGCUAGACCGGCAACACCUUCAUCUUGAGUAUCUUCGGAGUCGGAGUGAUAACUUCUCUCGGAGUGGCUGUCGGAGUCGGAGCGGGAUACCCAUUCACCAACAUGAGCUUGAUGUCUUCGUCUUGUGUAGCUCCUUGAUGAUUUUUCCUUCCUUUCCGAAUCCUUGCUUCUCCGUGAGUAUCUUUGUUCAUAACGAUCAUCUCUACUCCUUCUCUCUCUUGGUGGUGAUCCUUUGCUUCUUCUUUUUGGAGAAUCUUCUCUUCUCUUGUAGGGAGCCGUACACUCAUUGGAAUAGUGUCCGGGUCUUCCACAAUUGUAACAGUUUCUCUCUCGACUAGAAGAUCUUUUGUCAUUGUAGGACCUUGACUUGGAGCUUCUAUCUUUGCUUCUACUCUUGUAGAACUUGUUGAAGUUCUUCACCAUUAAGCUCAAUUCUUCAUUGAAGUCUUGUUUCUCACUUGAUGAUGUAGGGGCUUCACAUGAGGCUUUAUAGGCACCACUUGACUUGUUGUGAAGUUCCUCUUUAUCCUUAAGUGACAUCUCAUGAGCAACAAUUCUUCCAAUCACUUCCGUUGGCUUGAGAUCUUUGUAAUUGGGCAUCAUUUGGAUCAAUGUGCACACGGUAUCAUAUUUUCCAUCCAAGGCUCUUAGGAUCUUCUUGAUGAUGAAUCUAUCGGUCAUCUCUUCACUUCCUAAGCCGGCAAUCUCAUUUGUGAUGAGAGCAAGCCUAGAGUACAUUUUAGCGACACCUUCACCAUCCUUCAUAUUGAACUUGUCAAGUUGGCUUUGAAGCACAUCCAACUUGGAUUCCUUGACGGAGUCGGUACCUUCGUGCAUAUCAAUCAAAGUGUCCCAAACUUCCUUUGCAUUCUCAAGGCGGCUGAUUUUGUUGAAUUCUUCGGGGCAUAAUCUGUUGAAGAGAAUAUCACAAGCUUGAGCAUUGUACUGCAACAUCUUCAACUCAUCCGCGGUAUCUUCACGGUUUGGUUCUCUCCCAUCAAAGAAGUCACCUUGCAAACCAACACACAAAAUAGCCCAAACAGUGGGGUUAUGUCCAAGAAUAUGCAUUUUCAUUUUAUGCUUCCAACUAGCAAAAUUAGUACCAUCAAAGUAAGGACCUCUACGGUGAUAAUUUCCCUCGCUAGAUGCCAUACUCUCCUAGGUUGUGAAACCAAGGCUAUGACCACCAAAAGCUAUGGAGAUCAAGCAAAUGGAGACCAAUGCUCUGAUACCACUUGUAGGAUCGAAAGUAUGUCUAGAGGGGGGGUGAUUAGACUACUUGACAAAAUAAAAACUUAACCUUUUCCCAAUUUUAGUUCUUGGCAGAUUUUAGCUAUUUUAGGACAAGUCAAGCAAUCAUCACACAAUUCAAGCAAGCAUGAAAAGAGUUUAUGGGCAGCGGAAAGUAAAGCAUGCAACUUGCAAGAAUAUAAAGGGAAGGGUUUGGAGAAUUCAAACGCUAUUGGAGACAUGGAUGUUUUUCCCGUGGUUCGGAUAGGUGGUGCUAUCCUACAUCCACGUUGAUGGAGACUUCAACCCACGAAGGGUAACGGUUGCACAGGGCUCCACCCAAGGGCAACGGUUGCGCGAGUCCACGAAGGGCUCCACCCACGAAGGGUCCACGAAGAAGCAACCACCCACAAAGGGUCCACGAAGAAGCAACCUUGUCUAUCCCACCAUGGCCAUCGCCCACGAAGGACUUGCCUCACUAGCGGUAGAUCUUGACGAAGUAGGCGAUCUCCUUGCCCUUACAAACUCCUUGGUUCAACUCCACAAUCUUGUCGGAGGCUGCCAAGUGACACCUAGCCAAUCUAGGAGACACCACUCUCCAAGAAGUAACAAAUUGUGUGUAGGUAAUGAACUCCUUGCUCUUGUGCUUCAAAUGAUAGUCUCCCCAACACUCAACUCUCUCUCAUAGGAUUUGGAUUUGGUGGAAAGAAGAUUUUGAGUGGAAAGCAACUUGGGAAGGCUAGAGAUCAAGAUUCAUAUGGUAGGAAUGGAAUGUCUUGGUCUCAACACAUGAGUAGGUGGUUCUCUCUCAGAACAUAUGAGUUGGACUGAUGUGUGUGUUCUGAUGGCUCUCUCACUAAAUGAGAAAGAGGUGGAGGGGUAUAUAUAGCCUCCACACAAAAUCCAACCGUUACACACAAUUUACCAAUCUCGGUGGGACCGAAUCAGAAAACUCGGUCUGACCGAAAUAGUAAACCUAGUGACCAUUAGGAAUUUCGGUGGGACUGACAUGCAACUCGGUAGGACCGAUUCGGUUAGGGUUUGGGCAUAACGUAAUCUCGGUGAGACCGAUUACACAAACUCGGUGAGACCGAAUUUGGUAAUUAGCUAACCAGAGAGUUGGUCAGGCAAACUCGGUGGUACCGAUUUGCUCUUUUGGUGAGACCGAGUGGAACUCGGUGAGACCGAAAAGUUACAAAGGGGAAACACUGAGUUUACAUUGCAAUCUCGGUGGGACCGAUUCGCUCUUUCGGUGGGACCGAAAAGUUACGAAAGGGAAACAGAGAGUUUGCAACCCCAUCUCGGUGGGACCGAGAUCCUUAUCGGUAGAACCGAAUUGCUAGGGUUUGGCAGUGGCUAAUGACAAGUGAAACUCGGUGGCGCCGGAUAGGAAGAAUCGGUAGGACCGAGUUUGGCUUAGAGUUUAGUUCAUAUGUGGAUAUGGGAAAGUAGUUGAGGGUUUUUGGAGCAUAUCACUAAGCACAUGAAGCAAGAGGCUCAUUAAGCAACACCUCAUCCCUCCUUAAUAGUAUUGGCUUUUCCUAUGGACUCAAUGUGAUCUUGGAUCAUUAAAAUAUAAAAUGAAGAGUCUUGAGCUUUUGAGCUUGAGCCAAUCCAUUGUCCUUAGCAUUUUGAGGGUUCCACUUUCACAUCCAUGCCAUGCCAAUCAUUGAGCUUUCCUGAAAUAAUUAUCUUGGAAUAGUAUUAGCUCAAUGAGCUAUAUGUUGUUAUGAAUUACCAAAACCACCUAGGGAUAGUUGCACUUUCAGCCUCGUCGCUGCUUAAUUGGUAAAACACCCUAUCAAUUAGUUCCACAGAUAUGUCCAAAUCCUCUUGGGAGGCCGGGUCGAGGGAUCGCUCCGGAUCCUCUGGUUGUGGAGACGGGCUAUUGAUCUCCCUUAUAGCCUUACGCAGCUCCUGUGUUGAAAUCGCAAGGUAAAAUACUUAACUGUGGGAAUAUGGGAAUGGAUGGACAUGAAAGGUGUUGACUUACCCAGCUCGGAGGAUUAUACAUAGAAAAUCCACCCUGUGGAUUGACACGGAGGAAUUCCCCCUCUUCUCCCUUAUAUAAAUCACACAAGAUUUUUGCUAGAGCAGCGGUCGAGUCCGGCCCCUUGCGGCCGCAGCGGGUGGCGUCAUCCUCCCCGUUGAAAUCCCACAUGGGGUGGCCUCUAUAUUGAAGUGGCUGCACCCCCAGCAUAAUUCACAUUGCCAUGACUUCGAUCAUGGUCAGUCUGGAUUGAGCCAGCAACUUUAUCCGGCACAUCAGGUAAAGGACGUCUCCGUCAUCUUCUUCCUGGGGGCUCCGUGGGCACCAGCUCAAGCGUUUCUUAAUGGAGCAUUGUCGAACUCAGGAAGGCCGAUACGAAUAGGAUCCGAAAGGGGGAUGUCUUCUAUAUAAAACCACUCUGAAGGCCAGUCUUCGGACGCCUUCUUCGGGGUUCCGGAUAGAUAUCCGGUCCCGGUGAUGCGCCAUACUUCGGCUCCGCCGACUUGAUAUAUUGACCCCCUCUGAGAACGGGGCACAAGGCAGAACAACUUCUUCCACAGUGCGCAAUGAGCCUCACAACCCAAAAACAGGUCGCAAAGGGCUACGUAGCCCGCGAUAUGUAGUAUGGAUGCAGGGGUAAGGCUGUGCAACUGGAGGCCGUAGAACUCCAGGAGCCCCCGAAGAAACAGAUGAAUUGGAAAUCUGAGUCCUCUUAUCAAAUAGGGGACGAGGCAUACCCGCUCUCCCUUAGAGGGAUUGGGAAAGCUCUCCUCUUGCUCUUCGCCAUUGUAGGUGGCGAGCCCGGCUCGAACCGGGACCAUAUACGCUGGGGGGAGAAAUCCCUGGGUCUGAAACUUCACCAGUUGGCUGUGCGGGACGAAACACCUCUCCCAAUCUCCAGGCUUGGGGCUGGGGGAACAAGAGGAGCUGCAUCGAUCGGCCAUGAUGGAAUGGAUUUCUUUCGGGUGCGCUCCGAUGAAUGCUCGCUAAGGGAGGAUGGUGCGGUUUGGAUCUGAAUCCCCGGCUCAUUAAUAGACAACUCAUUUGCAUAGCUAGGGGGUAAAUGUAAAAACACCCUGGCUCUCCACAUUCGCUUGACACGUGGAAGGUGGCCAUUAUUGGGCGUAGAAGCUAAGGGGCGCAGCAUUUACAAGAAGUCGGGCGCUAUUUAACAGGUAUUCGGGAUUUGGAGAAGAACCCGCCUUGCAAUGCCGAAGACAAUCUGUGCGCCGGACUCAUCGCCAUUGAAGCCUGGUUCGGGGGCUACUGAGGGAGUCCUGGAUUAGGGGGUAUCCGGACAGCCGGACUAUAACAUUUGGCCGGACUGUUGGACUAUGAAGAUACAAGAUUGAAGACUUCGUCCCGUGUCCGGAUGGGACUCUCCUUGGUGUGGAAGGCAAGCUUGGCAAUACGGAUAUGUAGAUCUCCUUCCUUGUAACCGACUCUAUAUAACCCUAGCCCCCUCCGGUGUCUAUAUAAAACGGAGGGUUUAGUCCAUAGGACACAAUAACAAAAAUCAUACCAUAGGCUAGCUUCUAGGGUUUAGCCUCUCUGAUCUCGUGGUAGAUCUACUCUUGUACUACCCAUAUCAUCAAUAUUAAUCAACCAGGAGUAGGGUUUUACCUCCAUUGAGAGGGCCCGAACCUGGGUAAAAAUAUCGGGUCCCUUGUCUCCUGUUACCAUCCGCCUAGAUGAACAGUUCAGGGCCCCCUACCCGAGAUCCGCCGGUUUUGACACCGACAACGAGCUCUUCCUCACCUCCAUAAAUUAGGAACAUCUCUUUAGUCCUUUUCAGCUACUUCAAAAUAGUCUUUACCGCUGCCCAGUGACUCUCACCUGGGUGGGCCUGGUAUCUACUUGUUAGGGUUAUUGCAAAAGCAACAACGGGCCGCGUACAUAUCAUGGCAUACAUGAUGGAUCCGAUUGCCGAGGCAUAUGGAAUCCUACUCAUCCUACUUCACUCAUCAGAUGUCGAAGGACUCUAAGUCUCGCUUAGCCUUAUACCAUGUGAGAGUGGAAAGAACCCUUUCUUUGCCUCUCUCAUGUUGAACCGCUUCAACACUUUAUCUAUGUGCGUGCUCUGGCAUAAGCCGAGCAGCCUCCUUGAUCUAUCUCUAUAGAUCUUAAUGCCUAAAAUGUACAUUGCCUCACCAAGGUCCUUCAUCGAAAACUUGCCAUUCAAUGACUCCUUGACCGAGUUCAGCAUCAAAAUAUCAUUUCCGAUCAGUAGUAUGUCAUCCACAUACAAGAUCGAAAAAACUAUCGACCUCCCACUUAACUUCUUGUAUAAACAAGAGUCCUCUUCGCUUUUGAUGAAGCCGAAACCAGUGACGACCUCGUCAAAACGAAUGUUCAAGCUCCGAGAUGCUUGCCUCAACCCAUAAAUGGAUCUCUUGAGCUUGCAUACCUUACUAGUGCCAGUCGGAUCGACAAAACCCUCGGGUUGUAUCAUAUACACGUCCUUGGUUAAAUUUCCGUGAAGGAAAGCCGUCUUGACAUCCAUCUGCCAUAUCUUGUAAUCGAAAUAUGCAUCUAUAGCUAGUACGAUCCUCACCGACUUCAGUAUCACUACCGGCGAGUAAGUCUCGUCGUAGUCAAUUCCUUGAACUUGUCCAUAACCCUUAGCGACAAGACGAGCUUUGUGGAUCUGAACAUUUCCAUCCACAUCGGUUUUCUUCUUAAAGACCCGUUUGCAACUAAUGGCCGUUACGCCAGGCGGCGGAUCAACCAAGUCCCAAACUUGAUUCUCAUACAUGGACUCUAACUCGAAUCUGGGCUCAUCAUCGCUUUCGCAUAUUUUGCCGGCUCGUCACUUUCUAGCAACAAUACAUCACGCACUCUGCGCAAUCUUUCCGACCUCCAUGGUUUCGGUGCCGCUUCCACUACGGGUUCCCUGACUGACUCUGGUAUGAUCUCAUCAUGAGCCGAGCCGUCCCAGAGAGGUCCUUGAAUUUCUUUGAGUCGGACCGUCCUCCCACUGGCCUCCCGACUGAGAAACUUUUUCUCAAGGAAAACCCCGUUCCGAGCAACAAACACUUUGUUCUCUUCCCAGUUGUAGAAGUUAUAUCCCAAGGUUUCCCUCGGAUAUCCCACGAAUAUGCAUUUAUCCGACUUGGGUGUAAGCUUGUCUGACAUAAGUUUCUCGACAAAUGCUUCACAACCCCAAAUCUUUAGAAAAGACAAACUGGGACUCUUCCUGGUCCACAUCUCAUGUGGUGUCUUGCCUAUGGAUUUUGAUGGUACCCUCUUAAGUGUGAAAGCUGCAGUUUCUAGAGCCUAUCCCCAGAAUGACAAGGGUAAAUCUGACUUGCUCAUCAUAGAUCGAACCAUGUCGAAUAAGGUGUGAUUCCUCCGUUCUGAUACACCAUUUCUCUGUGGCGUACCCGAAGGUGUGAGAUGAGGUACUAUACCUCUGCUUUUUAGAUGAUCAUCAAACUCCUGGCUCAUGUACUCACCUCCAUGAUCAGAUCGUAGAAGUUUUAUAGUCUUGCCGAGCUGAUUCACCACCUCGUUUUGAAACUCUUUAAACUUUUCCAAAGUCUCUAACUUGUGCCUCAUAAAAUAGAUAUAUCCAUAUCUACUCAAGUCAUCGGUAAAAGUCAUGAAGUAUUGAUAGCCACCUCUAGCAGUUGUGUUCAUUGGUCCACACACAUCACUGUGUAUUAGUUCCAACAGCUCGGAUGCCCUCUCGCAACUCUUUGCGAAAGGAGACUUAGUCAUCUUGCCAAGCAAGCAUGAUUCACAUGUCUUGAACGACCCAAAGUCGGUCGAAGUUAGGAGUCCAUCAUCAUGGAGCUUCUUCAUGCGUUUUAGACUAAUGUGUCCAAGCCGGCAAUGCCAGAAGUAUGUCAGAUUUAUCUCAUUGAGCUUAUGCCUCUUGACAUUCAUGUUAUAGACCAGUUCUUGUUCUAUAUUUAAUAUAAAUAACCCAUCAACAAUUGGUGCAUAGCCGUGGAACAUACCAUUCAAAUAAAUCGAACAACCAUUGUCCUUUAAAUUGAAUUCAUAACCCUGACUCAUCAAUCAUGAGGCAGAAAUAAUGUUCCGACUAAGUGCAGGAAUGUAAUAACAAUUAUUCAAUUCCAAAAUAUAUCCAGAAGGAAGCUGGAGCUGCAUCGUGCCGACCUCCAACACAGCAACUCUUGCUUUGUUGCCGACCCUGAUGUCAAUCUCCCCUUGUGCCACACGGCUAGUUCUUACCAGCCCCUGCAUCGAGUUGUAAAUAUGAACAACCGAUCUAGUAUCAAAUACCCAAGAGCUACUAGGUAUGUCAGCAAGGUAAACGUCUAUAACAUAUGCAACAAGUGUACCUUUGCCUGAAGCAGCAUUCCCGACCUUCUUGCCAUGUUCUGCAAGCCACUUGCUAUAGUUCCUCUUCCAGUGACCAGUUUCCUUGCAAUGAUAGCAAAUGGUCUUUGAGUCCGGUCCAGACUUCGGCGCAGCGGCGGAGGUUACGAUCUCCGUGCCCUUUGCCUUACCCUUCUUCUUAGACCAACUCUUCUUGAACUUAGCCGAUUUCUGCACCAUCAACACUUGCUGCGUGCCUUUCUUAAUAUCCUCCUCUGCCACUUUGAGCAUCCCAUGCAAUUCAGUGAGCUUCUUAUCCAUGCCAUGCAUAUGAUAGUUCGAGAUGAACGUCCCAUAGCUGGGCGGAAGAGAACCUAGAACUGCAUCAGUAGCCAGCUCAUCCAAGAGCGGGAAGCCCAAUCGAUCCAAAGCUUGCACAUAUCCGAUCAUCUUGAUCACAUGCGGGAUCAGUGGAUCACCUUCCUUCAGCUUACAAUCCAUCAAGGAUCGCUAGACGUUGAACCUUUCGGUCCUAGUCUGCACCUGAAACAUGCUCUUGAGACUCUCGAUCAUAUCGAAAGCCCCAACGUCUUUGAAAUGCUACUGCAAAUCGGGCUCCAUACAAACCAGCAUGAGGCAGCUGAUCUUGUUUGAUUCAUCAACGAGUUUCUGGUAGGCAUUCUUGGUUGUGGUACUAGCAUUAUUGGCAGGUUCCUCUGGAAGCGGAUCCUCUAGAACAUUUUCCUUUUUAUCAUGCUUGAGAACAAUUCUCAAAUUUCUAUACCAGGGAGUAAAGUUUGUUCCAUUCAGUUUAUCCUUUUCCAGAAUUGAUUUCAAUGCAAAGUUGGGUUGAGCAGGUGGUGCCAUUGAUCUACAACAGAGAAAUAUGCAAUCACUAAGCAAUGUGUUUAUGUAGAGUAAUUCUAGCCUUAAACAGAAAUACUCCCACUGAAGUCAGCAUCCCUCCGCAAACUCUCAGUGAUUCAGGAUCCGACUAGCACAUGCGACUAGAGAGCUUUAGCAUGACUGCUAGACAACAUGCCUAUCCGGUAAGCAACUCCUUGCUAAUCGUAUCUCUAUACGACUCCUGUCGGUCGGGUAGGUAUCUCAUACCCGGGCUCCCGACCUCUUUUGCCAAAAGGCCCAAAACCGUUUUGAUAGCCUUGUCAAGUCAACCUAAUGCAGUGCAUGUCCGUGUCCGACACGAACCCUUCAGUUCAAGGACACCUAGCAGCACCCCAAUUUUAUGAGCCCACUACUAGACGUACUUGAUGUGCGAAGGUGCAACAUCGGGGAUGGCAAUUCGCUUGAUAUUCAUGAGGGAUCUUUCAACCAUUCUAACAUGCAUAGAAAACAAGGAAGCAUAACAAUCACAAAUAAACACAUAUUGUGAAAUAGUAUGGCUCCUUCAUGGAUGCUCUUCCAGGUCGGCUCCAACUCCGAUGACCAUCUAGAAACUCCAUCUUGUUUGUCACGCCGGGACGCCAAGCCACCAAUCUGAUCUCUAUUAUCCAACUACUACAGCUAGUAGUGAAUUUUACAUAGAGUCACAAGUCGACACGCAGGUCGUUAUACAAUAUAAUGACAGCACUUUGGCUCCUGCCGGCUGCCAAACAUGACACGCAGGCCAUAUAUAAUUUACACACAUGCAUCACAUACACACGAGCCAAACUAUUCACAUCAAACCCUGCAAAAUAAAGUUAUGCCUAGAAUCGUAUUCUACCGGUUUGAGUGAUCAUGUACGAAAUACAAGGUGCUACGCACACGGCAGCGCCCGACGUUUUCGGAAAUUACAGAUCACAUCUGAACUCCGAUGACGCCGAAUUCUCUGAUCUGACCGAUCUCAUCGAUCAUCGCGAAUCCGGUUCAGAUUUACGUUUCACUAUCAACCUCGAUGGCGGAUAACUGACCGGUAGGGGUAGAUCGUGUCACGACCUCAUCGAUCCCAAUCAACAGAAAACAUAGCCACAUCGAUCCCCAUGUGCAGUUGAUCUCAUCAACCGUGCACAUAGCCAAUCUUAUCAAUGACAACAGAUCUCAUGUAUUGCCUCCACAUAUCUAAUAUGCAUACGAUCUGAAUCCAAAUCCUAUAGCAGAGGCUCUGAUACCAUAGUUGGGAUCUACGGUAGGGUGCGUCGACUGCAAAUUAAAAUUUCCUACGCGCAGAACAACCAAGAACAUGCUACGGGAGAUGGAUCACAGUUCGUUACCACUAGACGCGCAGUGCCGUGCAGCGGAAAGAAGAGUUGGGGCAGUGCGUCCGCGUGGAUCGUCUCCUCCUCGUCCGAUCUCCCUCGUACAACUGGUGGUCGGUUCCCACGUACAGGUUCAUCGGAGCGGUGCAAGUGCACCGCCUCUAACGGUAUCCGCGCGUGCAGGAGGAACGUCGUGCGGCGGACUGCUAGGUCCGAUCACACAACCGGCGGCGAGUGGAGGUGUCUAUUCGCAACACAUGCAAACCCUAGUGACAGCACCGAAGCGAUCAGCCCGUGAGUGUGCGACACCUUCACUAUAUAUAGGCGUCCGUCGCGGGCUCAACACUUGGGCCUCGCACGGACCCUAAAGCCCAUAAGUCUACUCAGCCACAAUCUGAAUACAGUUCGGAUCACAUUUGACCAGUGUCCUCGGAUCCGACCUCAUAGGUUCCUUCCCUUAAGUGUGCGACCCCUUAGGUUCAAGUCGGCUUGGUCGCAGUUCGGAUCAACUCCGAACUGCACGGUUGGUAGCGGCCUCUAGCAAGACAUGCCGAACACCAAGCAGACUAUGAAGCUGGUUAGCGAACCUGUACAUCACACUUCCAUUCUUUUUGCCACACGAUAUAUGUUGUCAAGCUCAAGGCGAGUCUGUCAUCAUUGUGCUAGCCCGACCUCUUUCUCGUUCCAGUGAUUCCUGACCUCUUUCUCUGUAAGACAAACAACAAUGCCGACCGCCUCCUUGUAGAGUAUCACGAGGUCAGGUAACUACGACCGUAUCUUGCGCAGUCGGGAGAGCUUCUCCGCAUCGCCGACAGCCACCUGAACGAGGAGUUGCGCCAGCGGAUGAGUGAUCUCCAUUGUGGAUUCGAUAUUGGAUGGCGAUGGAUGGAGAUCGAUUGGCGAGGGUGAUUAUGGUUAGGGAUUUGGGCGAGCUUGGCUAAGGGAUUUUGGGGAGACGAGGAAGAGACGGAGCGGAGAUGAGUGGUGCCAUGGGAGGCGGCUGGCUCAGAGUGGUGGACUGGAGGCGGCUGGCGUACUGAAUAAGGUUGUGACAAUUUGACUACUCUGCGCGAGAGGAUGGCAAAUGUGCCCGAAGAUGAGGCAGGGCGCAUGGACCGGGGGAGCUUGCAUUGUUUCUGCAAAAAGGAGGGGGAUUUCCGCAAAAAUGCAGUGCCAUGUAGUGCCAUGAGGCGCUCUACCGUCGAGGUGACCAUAAGGGUACCGUAGACUGUUAUGUAUUCGCGUUUAUAAGGAUUGUAUUAUAGUGUUUCUCGAGUUGCGGGAUGAAAUGUGCGCCAGAGACUUGAAGGACCAAACAUGGUAAUUUCUCCCCUCUCCCCUCCCUCUGUAAGUGCUAUACACAAGAUUUAACAUAAAAAAGCAGAAAUCUAAUUCGGCUAUUGGGACCAUAUGCUCCCGCCCAUGAUUUUUUUCCAAAUGUUAUUUAAAAAAAUAGAUGUAAUCAUUGUCACACCAAAACGCUACCUGCAAAUUUUUAGCAGGAAAGCUUAUGUAUCUUAAUAUGUCAAAAAAGCAAAUCGAACGACAAAUGUUGCACUUAUUUUUGUUUUUUUCACUGAGGAAUCACCGUCAUCCUGUUUCGCAUGAAAAUUGGCAAGUACUCUUGUCACACUAAUAAGAAAAUCUAGAAAAAAAUCAGAAUUUUUAAAUUUUAUUUACUACUUAUUUUGAAUUUACUGUUCAUUAGGGAGCAUAUGCUCCCAGAAGCCAAAACGGCCCUAAAAAAGGCACGAGCCUUAGCAUAUCUGAAACAAAACCUCGUGCGUGUGUGUGUGCGCACAUAUUUGUGCACUCGGGUCUCGCUUGCCCACAGUGGAGAAUGCAAAAAGAAAAAAGAGUUGGACGUGAAGUGGGGAUUUAGUCAGAUGGGCGCGUCCGAGGCACGUCGCAGAGCCUUUUCGGGCGCACGGAAGCCUCUCAUCACCCUCCCACCCAGAUUAGAUUUGCCCAACAUUUUGAACCAAGUUAGAUUUGUGCUCGGGGUACCGGGAGAUACAAAUUGCUGCAGCAGAUGAACCAAAACCAGCAUUCCACACUCACCACGGACACUUCAAAUUUAAGGUGAUACUAUCCAGUCUCACGGCUACACCUCUACCCUUUCAACCAGCCAUGAAUGUGGUAUUUUCACCGUUGCUGCGUCAUUGUGUGCAAGUAUCAUUAUAAUAUAUUUCCCCAUAAAAAAUAAUCAUUAUAAAAUAUGUUUUUAUACCAUAUGUAAUUGAUAUAAUGUAGACAUUAUCAUGAAUUUUCAUGGAUCUACAAAACAUAAAAACGGUUGACUCAAGACAAACCUAAAACUUGAAAUAAUUUGAAUCAGUGUGGGUAUUAUGUGUUUAUGAUGCAAAUACGUGACAUGAUAACAUGGGAACGACUACAAUAGAAGAAGGGCCACCAGUGCAAAAAUAGAAAAACAGCCAUGAGCCAUUGGAUCGUAGGUGGAUGGCAUAGAUUCUGGUGGAAGAAUCUUAGCCACUUAAUGUACAUUUUACGAAAAGCCCCCUACUAGCAGUUAGUUAUAAAAUAGAACUUUUGCAGCAACCACCUCAAGUAUUUCAUCUCCCUCUCCAUUCAUUUUGUUCAAGGACGGCUUAUGGCACAGAUUCAGCCACCAUUUGGAGCAUAACAAAACAUCUGACUGGACCUUUGCAGAUUGAGCAUAUCACAAGCAUACAUAUCUUGAUGAGACAUGGUAGCACCAUUUUUAGUACAUGGCCAGCAAGAUAGAGUAUUAAGGACUAAUAUCUUGAUAGUACAGAAAAGAAAUGCUCUAGCCUUUCCCUCCAGUUCUACUACUUGCUCAUGAAGCUUCUUGUUCUAGGAAAGAUCACACCAAGCAAACCAUAUUCAGUUGAGUGCAGCCACAUACAAAUGCAUGAUCAAGAACAUACUUAAAUAUAUCUUGCAGAGAAAUUCUCUCAAGUGUCAGAAAGGGAAGACUUUGGUAAAAGCUUCUUCUAUCCAUCUGUAGUCCUGAUGUUUCCAGUAGUCAGAGCAUCAUGCAUCUACACAUACAAGCAAAAAUAGUUUACAUUACAAGGACAGAAAUAGGAAAACAAUUAAGAAUGCAAUUCAAGUUCUUCUAAUAACUCGUAGAUGACAAAAGUAAAAAAUUUAUGUUGCAGCACAAAGUCACAUGUCUGACUAGUGAAGAGACCAGGAAAGAAUAUCACAUGGCAAAAUAUAAUCACAGCUUGACAAUGACAGAUCACUUGUAUCAAUUUUUGCAGCUCAUCAUCCCAGUAAGACUUGCUUAACGCAAAUAGCUUACGAUCGGUUGUUCUGCUGUAUUGAUAUUACAUUAUGGCUCAAUGGAUGGUUAGCAACCGAAGGUCUAUCCCAAAUCAAUCCCAAUACACAGAAAGAGUGUCUUCUUUUCUACAUACACAGAAAGAGUAUCUUCUUUUCUACAUAUACACAAAAAGAGUGUCUUCUUUUCUACAUAAAAAAGGUAAAAAAAGUUGUCUUUUUACAAUUGUAGUGUCAUAAAAGCCGAAUGAGGAAGACCAAAGAGCCAAUACAAUUGUUUCACUAAAGAAAAACUAUCAUGAUUUUAGUUUCAAUGGCAUUACUGGACAAAUAGAUAGUGAACUCCCAGAAAUCAGUGAAGUGGCACACAUUGCAAGUGUAACGAAUUUCAAUCUUGUGCCUACAAGCAUUUCACAUGCAGGUACUUUAAUAGGUAGAUGAGAUUAGUAUGUCCUCAUGUACAAUAUCCGACAAGAGGAUGAAAUUUCACAAUACAAAACUGCUCGAAAAUCUAGUAUAAGCAAACUUGUCCGGUGAUUAAUUUUUCUAUGCAUCGAUAUAGAGAGAUAUCCCUGUUAUUGCUUUCAAGUUGAAAGCAAGCAUAUCCCAGAUGAGCAUAAACUAGUUGUCCAGUCAAAAUUUUGAAGUAAGCAAACAUUAUUUUUUUGUUAUGGCUAAUCAACAGUUCAACACUGAAAAAAGGUCUCUCUAAAUUAACUGAAUCUGGUACAGGAAAGUAUCAAUACAUACUAAACUAAGAUUCUG